UAGGGAAUCUUCGGCAAUGGACGAAAGUCUGACCGAGCAACGCCGCGUGAGUGAAGAAGGUUUUCGGAUCGUAAAACUCUGUUGUUAGAGAAGAACAAGGACGUUAGUAACUGAACGUCCUCUUACGGUAUCUAACCAGAAAGCCACGGCUAACUACGUGCCAGCAGCCGCGGUAAUACGGAGGUGGCAAGCGUUGUCCGGAUUUAUUGGGCGUAAAGCGAGCGCAGGCGGUUUGUUAAGUCUGAUGUGAAAGCCCCCGGCUCAACCGAGGAAGGACAUUGGAAACUGGGAGACUUGAGUGCAGAAGAGGAGAGUGGAAUUCCAUGUGUAGCGGUGAAAUGCGUAGAUAUAUGGAGGAACACCAGUGGAGAAGGCGGCUCUCUGGUCUGAAACUGACGCUGAGGCUCGAAAGCGUGGGGAGCAAACAGG
rnacentral:rRNA from 1 species